CCUACGGGAGGCAGCAGUGAGGAAUAUUGGUCAAUGGGCGGGAGCCUGAACCAGCCAAGCCGCGUGAAGGAAGAAGGCGCCAGGCGUCGUAAACUUCUUUUGUCGGGGAACAAAGGGCGCCACGCGUGGCGUUGUGAGUGUACCCGAAGAAAAAGCAUCGCUUAACUCCGUUCCAGCAGCUGCGGUAAUACGGAGGAUGCGAGCGUUAUCCGGAUUUAUGGGGUUUAACGGGUGCGUAGGCGGUCCGGAAAGUCAGCGGUAAAAGCCCGGGGCUCAACCCAGGCGAGCCGUUGAAACUGGCGGACUAGAGACGGCGAGAAGUACGCGGAAUGCGAGGUGUAGCGGUGAAAUGCAUAGAUAUCGCGCAGAACACCGGUUGCGAAGGCAGCGUACCGGCGCCGGACUGACGCUGAGGCACGAAAGCGUGGGUAUCGAACAGGAUUAGAUACCCGAGUAGUC
rnacentral:rRNA from 1 species